UACGUAGGGUGCAAGCGUUGUCCGGAAUUAUUGGGCGUAAAGAGCUCGUAGGCGGUUUGUCGCGUCUGCUGUGAAAACUCAGGGCUUAACCCUGAGCCUGCAGUGGGUACGGGCAGACUAGAGUGUGGUAGGGGAGAUCGGAAUUCCUGGUGUAGCGGUGGAAUGCGCAGAUAUCAGGAGGAACACCGGUGGCGAAGGCGGAUCUCUGGGCCAUAACUGACGCUGAGGCACGAAGGUCAGGGGAGCAAACGGG
rnacentral:rRNA from 1 species